GCAGUCGAGCGGAAGGCCACUUCGGUGGUACUCGAGCGGCGAACGGGUGAGUAACACGUGAGUAAUCUGCCCCUGGCUUUGGGAUAGCCACCGGAAACGGUGAUUAAUACCGGAUAUGACACAUUCUCGCAUGAGUUUGUGUGGAAAGUUUUUCGGCCAGGGAUGUGCUCGCGGCCUAUCAGCUUGAUGGUGAGGUAAUGGCUCACCAUGGCUUCGACGGGUAGCCGGCCUGAGAGGGUGACCGGUCACACUGGGACUGAGACACGGCCCAGACUCCUACGGGAGGCAGCAGUGGGGAAUAUUGGACAAUGGGCGGAAGCCUGAUCCAGCAACGCCGCGUGAGGGAUGACGGCCUUCGGGUUGUAAACCUCUUUCAGUACCGACGAAGCGCAAGUGACGGUAGGUACAGAAGAAGCACCGGCCAACUACGUGCCAGCAGCCGCGGUAAUACGUAGGGUGCGAGCGUUGUCCGGAAUUAUUGGGCGUAAAGGGCUCGUAGGCGGUUUGUCGCGUCGGGAGUGAAAACGCCGUGCUUAACACGGCGCUUGCUUUCGAUACGGGCAGACUAGAGGUAUGCAGGGGAGAACGGAAUUCCUGGUGUAGCGGUGAAAUGCGCAGAUAUCAGGAGGAACACCGGUGGCGAAGGCGGUUCUCUGGGCAUUACCUGACGCUGAGGAGCGAAAGUGUGGGGAGCGAACAGGAUUAGAUACCCUGGUAGUCCACACCGUAAACGUUGGGCGCUAGGUGUGGGGUCCAUUCCACGGAUUCCGUGCCGCAGCUAACGCAUUAAGCGCCCCGCCUGGGGAGUACGGCCGCAG
rnacentral:rRNA from 1 species